rnacentral:misc_RNA from 1 species
GCCAUGCAAGAAUUGGUGUUCACCUGAUUUGGAGCAAAAAGGAAGGAAUUUAAGGACAUUCACAUAACCAAGUUAUCAAACAAGAUAAUGCUGACUGGAUAUGCAGGUAUCUUUCUGACAGCCUGAACAAUUAUUCUCUACAAUCUGGAAAUUGGCUCCUUAUUGGUCUAUUGUCUACGAAACCUAAACUUGUUUUCCAAGCACCAGGACACUCUGUCUUAAGUUAAAAAUUGUCCACUCAAAUUUCCAUUAUAAUAACUAAAAAUAGUGCUCCCAAAAAUUCAAAGGCCAAGUUAAGAGCAUGAAAACUUCGGUUAAUAAACAGGAUAAUAAACCAACAUUUCAGUAAAUGAUGAGUAUAGCAGGUAAUUUUCAUCUCCAAGACAACCAUAUUCAGAGGUAUCUCAUGUAUGAAUGUAUUUAUUACCACUUUCACCGUCAGAUUCAUCUGCAAGCCUUGUAAUCGCCUCGACAAGUGCCUGUUCAUGC